ACCUCCGGACUGGGGUUCGCAAGCUUCACGGCGAACGUACCUCGGGAAGUUGGUUAAACCUCACUAUUUAGAGGAAGGCGAAGUCGUAACAAGGUCUCCGUAGGUGAACCUGCAGAAGGAUC
rnacentral:rRNA from 1 species